UACGAAGGGGGCUAGCGUUGCUCGGAAUCACUGGGCGUAAAGCGCACGUAGGCGGCUUUUUAAGUCAGGGGUGAAAUCCUGGAGCUCAACUCCAGAACUGCCUUCGAUACUGAGAAGCUUGAGUCCGGGAGAGGUGAGUGGAACUGCGAGUGUAGAGGUGAAAUUCGUAGAUAUUCGCAAGAACACCAGUGGCGAAGGCGGCUCACUGGCCCGGUACUGACGCUGAGGUGCGAAAGCGUGGGGAGCAAACAGG
rnacentral:rRNA from 1 species